rnacentral:rRNA from 1 species
UACGUAGGGUGCGAGCGUUAAUCGGAAUUACUGGGCGUAAAGCGCGCGCAGGCGGUUCGGCUAGUCGGGUGUGAAAAUCCGGGGCUCAACCCCGGACCUGCAUCCGAUACUUCCGGACUGGAGGGAGGUAGGGGAGAGCGGAAUUCCCGGUGUAGCGGUGAAAUGCGCAGAUAUCGGGAAGAACACCGGUGGCGAAGGCGGCUCUCUGGACCUGUCCUGACGCUCAGGCGCGAAAGCGAGGGGAGCGAACAGG